GGGGCGUGUCCCGGCCCGUGUCAGUCUCGCUGCUGCUCGCAGGCGCGUGGCCGUUGCAGUGGCGGCACCGCCCCCUCCCCCCCCAGCGCCGCGCGGAGGCCCCCGGACACCGGCCCCGCCACGGGACAGCCACAGCUUGGCUGAGAAUGUGCUGCUGCCUGCGUAACCAACAACUUCCCACCUCAGAGACUGACUCAGGUUUUUAUCCAGCGCCACUCUGGACUAUUGAGUGAAGACACAGCAUCAGUAGUACAACAGGUUCUCUAGAACUGCUGCUGAAUUAAUCAUUCCACACUUAUUAAAAUUUUAGUCCCUGCUUCUGAUGAUUAUGGAGUUCAAGUUUUGCAUUUGUCUCAUCUGUGAACACUGUGUUGCAUGCUAUUUCUAAUACUGCUGCAGCUCAGUCUUUCAUCUAAUGCAGUUAAUGAGGAAAACCAAAUAAAUAAAAACUCUGAUGAUUUCUGUCAA